CGCGGCGUACCCAAGUGGUCAAAGGGAACGGUCUCAUAGCCCGUCAAUUCGCAAGUUCGAAUCUUGCCGUCGCGU
rnacentral:tRNA from 3 species